AAGUGCAUGGGGUCGGGGGUGGGAGAACACAGACUCCCUGUCUGACGAUGAAUAGCUAAGCUGUGAAACCAAUCCACUGAGAAUCUACUAGGAAUUAGCCUGUCACAAAUGGCUCUGCUGUGGAGCCUCUCACUGAACCUGGAGUUCACUGAUUUGGCUGGAUUGGCUGUCUGUAAUCCCAGGGAUCUGUCUGCCUCUCCCUCCGCAGUGCUGGGAUCACAGGCCUGCGUCAUCACAUCUGGCUUUCUCCUGAGUGCUCUCAGUUUGAUCUCAGACAAGGACAUUUAUAGAUGGCCCAGUGUACUGGCUGGUUUUGUGAGUCAACUUAACACAAGCUGGAGUUAUCACAGAGAAGGGAGCUUCAG